AAUUCGCGUAGAGAUAGCCUUAGUGCCUUCGGGAACUAGUGAGACAGGUGCUGCAUGGCUGUCGUCAGCUCGUGUUGUGAAAUGUUGGGUUAAGUCCCGCAACGAGCGCAACCCUUAUCCUUUGUUGCCAGCGGUUCGGCCGGGAACUCAAAGGAGACUGCCAGUGAUAAACUGGAGGAAGGUGGGGAUGACGUCAAGUCAUCAUGGCCCUUACGAGUAGGGCUACACACGUGCUACAAUGGCGCAUACAAAGAGAAGCGACCUCGCGAGAGCAAGCGGACCUCAUAAAGUGCGUCGUAGUCCGGAUCGGAGUCUGCAACUCGACUCCGUGAAGUCGGAAUCGCUAGUAAUCGUAGAUCAGAAUGCUACGGUGAAUACGUUCCCGGG
rnacentral:rRNA from 1 species